rnacentral:rRNA from 1 species
UACGGGGGGGGCAAGCGUUGUUCGGAAUUACUGGGCGUAAAGGGCUCGUAGGUGGCCAACUAAGUCGGACGUGAAAUCCCUCGGCUCAACCGAGGAACUGCGUCCGAUACUGGUGGGCUUGAAUCCGGGAGAGGGAUGUGGAAUUCCAGGUGUAGCGGUGAAAUGCGUAGAUAUCUGGAGGAACACCGGUGGCGAAGGCGGCAUCCUGGACCGGUACUGACGCUGAGGCGCGAAAGCUAGGGGAGCAAACGGG